rnacentral:ncRNA from 1 species
AAAAAGGCAUGGCCGGGUUAGGAAGAAAUACCUUACUUUCUUUUCACUGUAUGCUAGGACAUCUUUAGAGCUUUUAAAACUAGUACUGCAGACUUUCGGAACCUAUUGGUAAACGAAAAGCGGCAGAAUACAGUAACAUCUUAAAAGAUUAGACAACUAGCAGGGAACUACUAAAUAAAACUUUAAUGCUACUAGCUCAUUGUAGCAUUAAACGCUUUUAUGGAGUAGGAUCUUCAGAGACUACACGUGAAUACCUUAGUAAAUAUUUAUUAUUUAAAGGUAAAGAUAUAGUCCGCGCAUUAAUGAAAAUUAGUG